UGACAGUGCCAAAUGUACCCUUGCCGAUGGU
rnacentral:piRNA from 1 species